rnacentral:rRNA from 1 species
UAGAUACCCUGGUAGUCCAUGCCGUAAACGUUGGGCACUAGGUGUGGGGAACAUUCCACGUUUUUCCGCGCCGUAGCUAACGCAUUAAGUGCCCCGCCUGGGGAGUACGGCCGCAAGGCUAAAACUCAAAGGAAUUGACGGGGGCCCGCACAAGCGGCGGAGCAUGCGGAUUAAUUCGAUGCAACGCGAAGAACCUUACCAAGGCUUGACAUGUUCCAGACCGCCUCAGAGAUGGGGUUUCCCUUCGGGG